rnacentral:rRNA from 1 species
GUGCCAGCCGCCGCGGUAAUACGGAGGGGGCAAGCGUUGUUCGGAUUUACUGGGCGUAAAGGGCGCGUAGGCGGGCGAUCAAGUCAGAGGUGAAAGGCCUGGGCUCAACCUAGGAACUGCCUUUGAAACUGAACGUCUUGAGUCCGGGAGAGGAUGGCGGAAUUCCCAGUGUAGAGGUGAAAUUCGUAGAUAUUGGGAAGAACACCGGUGGCGAAGGCGGCCAUCUGGACCGGCACUGACGCUGAGGCGCGAAAGCGUGGGGAGCAAACAGGAUUAGAAACCCUGGUAGUCC